UACGUAGGGAGCGAGCGUUGUCCGAAGUUACUGGGCGUAAAGCGCGCGUAGGCGGCCAUUAAGUGAGAGGUGAAAUCCAGGGCUCAACCCCGGAACUGCCUCUCAUACUGUUGGUCUUGAGUGAGGUAGAGAGAAGUGGAAUGGCUGGUGUAGCGGUGAAAUGCGUAGAUAUCAGUCGGAACACCGGUGGCGAAGGCGGCUUCUUGGGCCUUUACUGACGCUGAGGCGCGAAAGCCAGGGGAGCGAACGGG
rnacentral:rRNA from 1 species